GAAUUCGCCCUUAGAGUUUGAUCCUGGCUCAGAUUGAACGCUGGCGGAAUGCUUUACACAUGCAAGUCGAACGGUAACAGCAGAGCUUGCUCUGGCUGACGAGUGGCGGACGGGUGAGUAAUAUAUCGGAACGUGUCCAAUAAUGGGGGAUAACUAAUCGAAAGGUUGGCUAAUACCGCAUACGCCCUGAGGGGGAAAGCUGGGGAUCUUCGGACCUGGCGUUAAUGGAGCGGCCGAUACCUGAUUAGCUAGUAGGUGGGGUAAAAGCCUACCUAGGCAACGAUCAGUAGCUGGUCUGAGAGGACGACCAGCCACACUGGGACUGAGACACGGCCCAGACUCCUACGGGAGGCAGCAGUGGGGAAUUUUGGACAAUGGGGGCAACCCUGAUCCAGCCAUUCCGCGUGAGUGAAGAAGGCCUUCGGGUUGUAAAGCUCUUUCGCAAGGGAAGAAACGAUAUAGUUGAAUAGGCUAUGUUAAUGACGGUACCUUGACAAGAAGCACCGGCUAACUACGUGCCAGCAGCCGCGGUAAUAAGGGCG
rnacentral:rRNA from 1 species